CAAGUCGAGCGGAAACGAUCCUAGCUUGCUAGGAGGCGUCGAGCGGCGGACGGGUGAGUAAUGCAUAGGAAUCUGCCCGGUAGUGGGGGAUAACUUGAGGAAACUCAAGCUAAUACCGCAUACGCCCCAAGGGGGAAAGCAGGGGAUCUUCGGACCUUGCGCUAUCGGAUGAGCCUAUGUCGGAUUAGCUAGUUGGUGAGGUAAUGGCUCACCAAGGCCGCGAUCCGUAGCUGGUCUGAGAGGAUGAUCAGCCACAUCGGGACUGAGACACGGCCCGAACUCCUACGGGAGGCAGCAGUGGGGAAUAUUGGACAAUGGGCGAAAGCCUGAUCCAGCCAUGCCGCGUGUGUGAAGAAGGCCUUCGGGUUGUAAAGCACUUUCAGCGAGGAAGAACGCUUGUGGGCUAAUACCCCGCAAGAAGGACAUCACUCGCAGAAGAAGCACCGGCUAACUCCGUGCCAGCAGCCGCGGUAAUACGGAGGGUGCAAGCGUUAAUCGGAAUUACUGGGCGUAAAGCGCGCGUAGGCGGCUUGAUAAGCCGGUUGUGAAAGCCCCGGGCUCAACCUGGGAACGGCAUCCGGAACUGUCAGGCUAGAGUGCAGGAGAGGAAGGUAGAAUUCCCGGUGUAGCGGUGAAAUGCGUAGAGAUCGGGAGGAAUACCAGUGGCGAAGGCGGCCUUCUGGACUGACACUGACGCUGAGGUGCGAAAGCGUGGGUAGCAAACAGGAUUAGAUACCCUGGUAGUCCACGCCGUAAACGAUGUCGACUAGCCGUUGGGGUCCUCGAGACCUUUGUGGCGCAGUUAACGCGAUAAGUCGACCGCCUGGGGAGUACGGCCGCAAGG
rnacentral:rRNA from 1 species